ACAUUAGCCGCGCCUUUAUUGCACCCGAACCUCGGGCGACUCAAAAGCCGCCGCCCCCACCCCAAACUGCGAGCCUCGCUCCCGGCGCACCCGCCUCCCGCCGGUCUGGCUGCGAUGGCAGCGCUGGCCCGGAGGUCUCAGGCUCUCCGACCCGGGAUUUGGCGCCCGAGAAGGGCGGCGUGAGCCCAGCCGGAGAGGGACGUGGCCGCUACGCGGGCCAGGUAAGACCAGGAGCCGGGAUGGGCCCCGCCACCGCCCAGCGAGGACUUUGCCGAGCUGAUAUCAAGGACCCAGCGUCCCUACCCCUCGACCCUCUUGUCUGUCACCCCCGGCCUCGGGCCAUGCGCCCAGGGAGAGGGAAUCUGCAGCUUCCGAGGAUGGCCCGCGGGAGGUUCGUGAGGGUACCGCAGCCCUGGAUGAGACGACACGGGACAGGGCUGGAGGACCCCAGGGGUUGGGGGAGGGGGCCAGUCAGAGGACUCAGUCUUCACCAGCCGAGAGCUGACGGGUGAGUUGUUGGUGGCUCCAGGCACCUCUUCCCCGGCCCGAGGCAGUAGCAACAGCCUUACCUCUUCUUGCAAUCUUGCACACUCUUUCCUCGGGCUGUGGCUCUUCCGGUCGACUGGGGCCACGGCCCGCCCGGUGACCGGCGCCCGACCGGGCAGCCGGGCGGGUUGCCUGGGCUAACGGGGCCGGCUCGGGGCCUCCCCGCUGCGCUCUGCCCAGGCCCCGGCCGGGGCCCCGCUGCCGGCCCCGCCCAGCCCAGUGCCGGGCUGGAGUACACCACCCGACUCCAGCUGUUCCGGAUGCGGGGCGGGGGCCCGGAGGGGGCCGGGCCACGGCUGGGACUGCGCUCCCAGGAACCCGCAGGGAAGCCCGGUUCGAGUCAGACUGGGGGCUGGGAACCCUACGGCCGGCCGGACUCUUGUAUAUCAGGCGAGCAUUUGUGCACAGCGGUAUUUGAAUGUGUUUACGUUUGAAUAUGUACAUUUGCGUGGGGUUAGAAAUGUGGUGUAUUUGUGUAAACCUGUGGGUACUUAGGCGCGUUGGAACCCUAUGUCUUUCAUUCCCCAAAGGCACCCAAAGGGGCUGUACCCCCCGGGCUCUUUUUGCUCUGGCUUCUCUCCUCUGGUUUGUAUGGGGCCGUUGGCCCCACCACCUAAAUUUUCCAUGUCUGUCCCUGAAGAAAGGAGGGGAGCAAGGAGGGGGUUAGAGCCAAGGGAGCUGUUUCUCUCCCCACAUACAGCCUCAACCCUUUUCCUGGCUUUGUUUGUAAACUCCUGGGCAGACGGUGUGGUCAGGCAGCCCUGCUUAGUCAAGAGAAGGGCCCAGACAGGCCAGUGCAGAGGACUGUAGCCCAGCCUAGAGGUUAGGAUGGGAAGAAUAGGACCUUCUAGACUUCUUGGACCUCCUUCCAUACUGCCCCAGAGAGGAAGUGAGCCAAGCUGGGCUGUGGGGCAGGGGGCAGGUUCUCUCCCUGGAUGCCUCCAGCAUGGGGGUCUCUGCACAUCAGAGAUUGGUUCAUCGCCCAUUUAGUUAUUUGUUUAGAACACGGCUUGCAGCUCCCCAGAGUAAAAGAGAGAGUGUAGAGAGGAAAGAUUCCUGUUUGGGACCCCAGUGCCUGCCCUGGCCCUGCUUGGGAGUAUUGGGAAGAGUUAUUUAGCCUUUUUCCCAUCUUUUUCCUGCAUUUGUGGGGAGGACAGGUGCUCAGAGGCAGGAAUGGUGAGAAUGGGAUUCUUUCUCAGUUCCUCCAGAGCUGCAGAAUUGUCCUCAAGGCAGGCCCGUCUCUAGUGCAUCAACACUGUUCUGAAACCGUGAGGUGAUGCUGGGCCUACCAACAGUGGAGUCAGAGUUGAGAGAGGUGGAGAGCCACCUGAGCGAGAAGGUGUCCCAGAGCCUGAUGGACUCUGCAGGUUUGGAAGCUUAGGGACCGAGAGGGGUCUGCGCUCUCCUCACUUCCUGCCUCAGCCUCUGGUCCCCAGCCCUUUCCCAACAUAACCCCAAAAGCCCUGACCCAGAGCCUCGGGCAAACCAUAUCCCCCAUGCUAGAGAGGAGGCCCCUCCAGAUCAAGGAACAGGGACUCUUGAGUCGCUAUCUUGGAAGGGGCUUCAUCCCAUAACCCCCUGCCAUUCUUCCUGUCUGCACCUGAUAUUGUCUGCAGGACAGGAUCUUAAGGACAACCCUGCUGUUGUCCCUUUUCCAGUCCCUCAGGAACAGUGGACUUCAGUGUUACAACAAAGCUGCCAGGAAGGUGAGGAAUGUGAAUUGGGGAGCAGAGGGGCAGAAGCAUAGAAUUCCUUCAAUGGGGUCCUGUUUCCGGGGAUCUUUCGUCUUCGGCCACAUCAUGUCCAAGUGGACAGGACAUUCCACAAUCACCUGCUAUAUUACCUCUUAUACUCACUGUAGCCGACCUCUUUUUCCUGCGGCCCAACCCGGAGGCUUUGUUUUCAGCCUCAUUGGUUGAACACCCAACAAAACAGCCCCAGCAGGCACAGCUGGGGGUUCAGGGGGCACGUGGUGCUACCCACUCAUUUUGUUGUUUAGGGCCCCUACUUCUAUUGCCUCACCCAGGCUAUGUUCGAAAACCAGGCCAACUGUCCCACCAACCUUUUUGCAACCCCACCGUUUUCCCCCACUCCAGACCCCAGUGUGUGGGCUGCUAGGAUCUUCUGAACUCCUGGAAACCCAAAACUACUGGCUUCCGUACCCCUCUGGCAGAUCAGAGAGCUGUAUCUCGGGCUUGCAGUCAGACUCACUCCCUCUCCCACUAGAUGAGGAGACCCUUGAGGGCAGGGACCUUGAUCUGGGGACUCCAUCCACACCAGACCUGCCCAGGCAGGUGAGCACCUGGUGCCCUCCGCUUACUGGUUCAAUGAGUU
rnacentral:lncRNA from 1 species